CCUACGGGGGGCAGCAGUGAGGAAUAUUGGUCAAUGGGCGGGAGCCUGAACCAGCCAAGUCGCGUGAGGGACGACGGUCCUAUGGAUUGUAAACCUCUUUUGUCGGGGAAUAAAGCCGCCCACGGGUGGGCGGAUGAGUGUACCCGAAGAACAAGCAUCGGCUAACUCCGUGCCAGCAGCCGUGGUAAUACGGAGGAUGCGAGCGUUAUCCGGAUUUAUUGGGUUUAAAGGGUGCGUAGGCGGACAGUAAAGUCAGCGGUAACAAUGCGGUGCUCAACGCCGUACAGCCGUUGAAACUGGCAGUCUUGAGUGGGCGAGAAGUAUGCGGAAUGCGUGGUGUAGCGGUGAAAUGCAUAGAUAUCACGAAGAACUCCGAUUGCGAAGGCAGCUUACUAAACUGCCACUGACAUUGAUGCUCGAAAGUGUGGGUAUCAAACAGGAUUAGAUACCCUGGUAGUC
rnacentral:rRNA from 1 species